rnacentral:rRNA from 1 species
CAGUAGCCGCGGUAAUACGUAGGUCCCGAGCGUUGUCCGGAUUUAUUGGGCGUAAAGCGAGCGCAGGCGGUUAGAUAAGUCUGAAAUUAAAGGCUGUGGCUUAACCAUAGUACGCUUUGGAAACUGUUUAACUUGAGUGCAAGAGGGGAGAGUGGAAUUCCAUGUGUAGCGGUGAAAUGCGUAGAUAUAUGGAGGAACACCGGUGGCGAAAGCGGCUCUCUGGCUUGUAACUGACGCUGAGGCUCGAAAGCGUGGGGAGCAAACAGGAUUAGAUACCCCUGUAGUCCCUGUCUCUUAUACC